UGCAGAAUCCCGCGAACCAUCGAGUCUUUGAACGCAAGUUGCGCCCGAGGCCACUCGGUCGAGGGCACGCCUGCCUGGGCGUCACGCCAAAACACGCUUCCAACCCCCUCAUCGGGGAUCGGGAUGCGGCAUAUGGCCCCUCGUCUCGCAAGGGACGGUGAGCCGAAGAUCGGGCUGCCGACGUAUCGUGUCGGACACAGCGCAUGGUGGGCGUCUUUGCUUUAUCUGCGCAGUGCAUUCGAUGCGUAGCCGCAUGAUGGCCUAAAAAAGACCCAACUAACGGAGCGCGUGUCGCUUCGAUCGCGACCCCAGGUCAGGCGGGACUACCCGCUGAGUUUAAGCAUAUAAAUAAGCGGAGGAGAAGAAACUUACAAGGAUUCCCCUAGUAACGGCGAGCGAACCGGGAACAGCCCAGCUUGAGAAUCGGGCGGCUAUGCCGUUCGA
rnacentral:rRNA from 1 species